rnacentral:lncRNA from 1 species
ACCUUUGUCCAGUUUUGAUUGGGUCUGGGCUUGUGCUGCCCACUCGGCCUGGCAGGCUGUACUCAGCUCACGCUACCGGUCUGGAUCCCACGCCUGCCAAGGGCAAGUCAGGGCUCCUGCUGCUGUGGUGUGGGACCUUCGAGCAGCCUGUGGAAGUCAUCCUGUGAGGAACUGUGGCCUCCCCCAAGCAGCGCAUAUUGGAGGCAGAGGCUUCAGCCCCAGUCAAACCCUCAGAUGAUGGCAGCCCCAGCCAACGUCAUGACGCAGCCUCUGGAGAGACCCUGAGCCAGGGCCACCCACCCGAACUUACCCUGGAUCCUGACCCACAGAAACUGCAAGUCGAUAAAGCCCACAGGGAGCAGAGGUUUUCAUUACCAUCAUUCUCAGAGGACACGACUGGGGCUCAGAGAGGGGAAGAAACCUCUCCAGCUUGCACAGCUGAGUCAUUCCCCAAAUGGAUGAGACCCCAGCACAGGAGAAAUGCAUGACAGCCAGAUAAUAAACCUGCAUAUCAGAACUGUCAGAUCGUCUUCAGAGCAAAAGGCAACAUGCUCUCCCGAGGUAAGAUCCUAACUGUUGUCAGGAACAUAUGCCAGGG